rnacentral:rRNA from 1 species
CCUACGGGGGGCUGCAGUGAGGAAUAUUGGUCAAUGGGAGGAAUCCUGAACCAGCCAUGCCGCGUGCAGGACGACGGCUCUACGAGUUGUAAACUGCUUUUGUACCGGGGUAAAAUGCCUUACGUGUAGCGUUUUGAAAGUACGGUACGAUUAAGGAUCGGCUAACUCCGUGCCAGCAGCCGCGGUAAUACGGAGGAUCCGAGCGUUAUCCGGAUUUAUUGGGUUUAAAGGGUGCGUAGGUGGGUUUUUAAGUUAGCGGUGAAAUACCGAUGCUCAACCUCGGGGCUGCCGUUAAGACUGUAGGACUAGAGAGCGGAGGAAGCAGGCGGAAUGUGUAGUGUAGCGGUGAAAUGCAUAGAUAUUACGCAGAACACCGAUUGCGAAGGCAGCUUGCUAGGCCGGAUCUGACACUGAUGCACGAAAGCGUGGGGAUCGAACAGGAUUAGAUACCCCUGUAGUC